UAUUCGAGAGUCAAAGCAGCAAAGCAGAAUAUACGUAGUGACAACAAAUCGAUCGAAUAUCUUAUAGAACGCGUUGACAAAUUUUUAUUAUUAGAUCGCGAAUAUUUAUGCAUUUAUGGAAGAUUUAAAGAUGCAAAUCUUUCGCGUAGUAUCAAACAAUCUAUAAAAUAUAUUAUAUACCCAUAAAAUAUACUGACAAAAUAUGGCUGUUACGUUCGGGACAUUGCGCGUAUAUGGGAAACUGGUGUCGAAAUUCCUGUAUACUAUACGAGACUGGUUCCAUCGGAAGUCCGAGUUACCUGCGACAACAGACGGGUGGCUUGCGUAAGGCAGAAAAGGAUUUCGCGCUGGUUCGCAUCAACGCGAGUCGCGUAAUCGCAAUUAAUGCGACGCUCGCGGUAAUGGUCGUUCUCAUUAUCAUCGCGGUGUGUAUUGGAUAAUGCUCGAGCGUAUUCGAUGAUCCGGCGUGGACGUGAGAUCCGUGUAAACAGCCAGUGUUAAUUUUCGGUCUUCCAGAAUGGUGAAGGGAGAGAGGAGAUCGGUGCAUAUGUACAUUUGAAAUAUGAAGCGGGACGGUAGGCGGGACAAUCGAUGACGGUACUAUAAUUAAAGUAUCCUUCGAUAUUUCGCUCGAGAACGGACCAGAGUAACAUCACGUGUCGUCGAUGUCAAGGCGUCUUCGUCGAGCAGUGAACGGAACGAGGCGAUGUACACUACCGCUUCAAAGUAUCCGGAUACUUGCACGUUUCUACAAGAUAUAAUAAUAUGCAUAUUUAAUAGCUAAGUGGCCAUGUGUGUAUUGGCAAGCGCAUACUCUUAUUUUUCAAAGAAGCGUCGUUUUAUCACGUCGAAAAUACUGUCAAAUGAUAUACGAAGCUUGAUAAUACACUUGCGCUUAAUUAAAUACUAUAUAAACGUUAUAAGAAAUACAAUGGUGUGGAAAUAUGUUUGGUAGUCAGCGUAUAGACCAAGUGACUCCGUAGGAAACGUAAUAAGUACGGUAUUGUUUCUAUCGAUUAUUUCCUCGUUAACUGCUCGAUAAAAUUUAUGUACUGUUACUACGGACCAAAGUGUUGGAUACUUAUGAGCCAUAGUGUACGAAGGCAGAGGGGGAAAGAGCGAGACGGAACAACAGAGAGGAAGUUUAUAGUGCACAGCAAGAUAAAAACGAAGCGACCGUGAACGUGUACGAGGAAUUGCCGCGAGCGUCGCUUCUAAUAGCUUUGUGUUGGCCGUUUCAUUCGCAGAUCGCGCGAAAGCUGCGCUCUUAACAUUGGCCUGAUGGCAGACGGAUUCACCUAACGUUAAUUUAGAAUCUAGAUGAAAUUCGGCAGGUAUUCAAGAAACUCGACAUCGUUAUUUAGAACAAUGUAAGAACGAAUAACCGCGAGUCAUCGGCCGGCGUAUGUCGCGUGUAUGCGCGAACGUAACGACACGCGGUCGCCGUAAUACGAGAACGUAGAACGAGGUUGUCUCUUGGCAAAUCCUUAAUUAAUAAAAACGCUGCAUAUCGAAGAAAACAAUCGUGAACAAGCAUGAACGAUCGUGCUUGUUGUCGGUCUACGUGUUGUUAUAAAUAACCGUAACGUUCGAGGCAAAUUAUUAAUUAUAACACGUUAGCCAGUACACGAGCGGACGAGCAUGGCUAUCACGGUGCAAGGUUCAAGGGAAACCGCAUUCUUCGAACGGCAAAGGCGAAAAAACCUAUUAGUAAAUGAUAUACACGCACGUCCCGUUUCGUUUUGUUUCGUUUCGCAGGUUCUAGGCUAGUCGUUCGCGAAGAGAAAAGACCGGGGAACGCAGAAACAGAAAACUAAGAAAUGAAACGAAACGGUGACGAUAGGACCUCGUGCAAUGACACUUAUAUAACGCGAGUAAAAAUUGGCUACUAGCAUCGUGUAAUACCAUUUGCAACACAUCAAUGAGAGUGAAAUGUUUGUGAAUUCGUUAAGGAACGAGUAGUGAAAUACAUAAUGUGUGAAAGAAAAA